GUCAUGGCAACUGGACUUCUUUCCUUUUUGGUUAAAGACGUUUCGCUACUUGUCCAAGCAGCUUCUUCAGCUAAGUUCUGAACUUAGUGAAGGGAUCAGGUGGCCAUGCAACACUGCUGCUGCUAGAUGUUCUUUUAAGUAAAGAAGAGAGAAUAGAUCAGCCAACCACUGAAGAUAAGUGAUAUUUACUACCUCCUCCCACCCCCAAGCAUUUCUCAUGGAAUUUGGUUAUUUCUUAUGAAAAGAAGAAGUUUUAACUCACUACAAACUCCAGGACUUUUUCCACAUUGUGAUAUCCUGCCUUCAGAGAAUCUUCAGUGUAUGCCUUCCAUUUCAUUUUGAUGAAAAAAGUUAUCAAGUUUUGAAGUGGUGGGGAGGAGGAAGAGAAGAGAAACAACUCAUGCGGAGAAAAGGAAGUAUGUUUAAAACAUUAGAACGUAAGAGGUUUCUUAGCUCAGCUUAGAGAUCCAUCUGUUGCAUUCUCCUGUUUCCUUGUAUGGCUGGACUCUACUGAGUUCUCCCCUUUCUCCUCUACUUGUUGGGUUUAUUGCUGCUGUGGCAGGCGUGUGCUGUCAGGGCAUUCCUGACACCAUGAAAUCCUCUGAUUCCUACUUGUUGAUGCCUCAGUGCUGGAUAAAGAACUGGGUUCUAGAAAAGGACCAGGGGCUCCAGAGGAUUCAAUGGUGCUAGGACUGGCUUGGCUUAUUACUUAAUGUUACAUGCCCCAAAAACUGCAGACUAGGCAGAUGUAAAUGAAAUAUGCAUAUGCUAGAUUUACAUAUGCAGAUUUUGAAACAAUUUCUAGUAAUUUAAGUUGACAUGCAAUCAACUUUAGUUGGGGAAAGCUGAUGGGAUAAGUACCUCACCAUUUAUGGGCUACUCUUUCUUCUUACAAUUGUUGAUCUUUAAAUGGGAGAGGCCUCCAAAUAGGGAACUGUCCUCUGUAAAUGAGAGCAUAUGGGCACUCUGGAGAGACAAUUAGACUCAUUGGCUUUUUAAUCAUUUAUUUAUUCAAAAAGGUACAGACUCAAGCUGAGCUUGAUUUCUGGUGACUUUGUGAACAUAUCCAGUUAGUUUUCUUGCAAGACAUACCAAAUUGGGGUGCUAUCACUUUUUUUUCCAACUUCCCAAGCUGUUUUUUUUUUUUUUUAAUUUCUUAGAGGUUUGUCAUCCAAGUACUAACCAGGUCCAAUGCUAUUUAGCUUCCAAGCUCAGAGUCAGCUAUAUGCUGCUACCUCUUGAGACUUUAUUCAGUCUCUUCAGUAUUUGACAUGUAUGUGUACCUGCAUAAAAUUAAACGAAGCCAAAUUGAACUUUAUAGAUUGAACUAUAUUUAGAAAAUUCAGAACAAAACAGUCUAUCUUCUAAAUAUAAUUCAAAAUGGACAGGCAUAUAUUUAGAAAUAAUUAUAAAGCUGUGAUUAAAGCUUGUUUGAAUCACAGUGUUUAAAUAUCUGUACAAUGCUUUCAAUUAUUUCUAUUCAGGUGGAUUUUGUUGGUUACACAAGUCCCCCUCCCAUCCUGCUUUUCCAUUAACCUGAAAGUCAGAAUGUUCUACAGCUGUAGCUAUAGCUAACCCUGGCAUGUUGUCAGAGAAGAAAGGGGAGCAGGAGAAAAACCCAGGCAGAUCCAACACUGAGGAAUCAGAUCCUAACAUCAAGUGAUGAGGCUAAAUAGGAUCUUCCUGAUCCUGACACCUUCUCCAAACACCAUCUCUACCUUCUGGCCCUCCAUCCUAAAACAGCAGCAUUCAUGAAGACUGGGAAGCCUUGAGAUUUGAAUAAUUUCCAUGAUUGCUCAGUCUUAUGUAUCCUAUGCCUGGAGGUCACCUGCUUUCCACCUUCUUCAGUUGCUGAUAAGAAACUUUGGCUUAUCUUGGACAGGAAAGGGGCUAUGGCUCUGCUUUCUAAUUUUUCCAAUUUUAACCAAUUCUCAACCAAUUUAUGAUCUUGGACUAUUAAUGACUUUGAUACACAUCUCUGUGGGCCAGAACAAGUUAGGGGAAAGUUUCAAUUUUGGUUUAAGUUAAUUGAUUUUCAGUCUUUUUCUCCUACAAUACAUGUUUCUACAUUGGUUUCUGUUUCAGAUUAAAAAUACAUGCCAAAAACGUGUAGAUUCAUGUGCACUCCUCCUACUAUAGACACUUUGGAACAAUUUUCACUAACAGACAUACUUCGUAUGCAUUUUAAAGUUGUGAACUGCAUUGCAAUGGGCUUGAGCAUGCAGUAGCAUAUUGAAGGAGUGGAAAAGUUAGAUUUGGCUCCAUAGAUUGACCUCUGAAGGCUAGAUGAUGUCAGGGAGUAGAGCCCCAAAGAAAGGAAGCCAUGGUCCCUGAGGCAGUGCUCAGUUCCUAGGACAAUUUUGGAUGAUCAGCCCCUGCCUUCUCCAUUAAGAGUCCCAUCUAGUGCUUAGAAAGGCUCCCUAAUUGGAACCAAGCUGAUUGCUCAGAAAGGUUCUCUUUCUGACCUCAUCAUUGAUCAGCAGUUGAUUGGAGCUGCUGAGUUGAAGAAGGCUCCUUUUUUUUUCCCCAUCUGAGUGUAGAGAAAGAGAAAGGAGAUGAUAGGGUGAAGCAGCAUCCUGAGGCCAUAGCCUGGCAUAUACAUCUGGGAAGUGCACCUUUUUCUCCCAUGUUUGCAACAGUUCCAUCACAUUUGACAGAGAGAAGGCAAGGCAAAGCAGCUGCCUUUCCUAAGCCUCUGUUUGUCCUGUUGGUUUCUUCAUUCAGAAUCUGUUGUGUUUCCUAUUUUGAAAGUUUUUAAAAAUGAAAUUAUGUGAGGGAAAUAAAGUAUGCUAGCUCCAGAUCUAGUGAACUUCUUUCUCUGCACAGUGAUAGAAUGGAACAGCUUUGAAUCUUGUGGGUAGAUAACCACUCCCAAUGUUCCUCUUUUCCACCCCAAUAUCAGAGUUUUAAUAGCAGAGGAAUACCAGCCAUAGAUAUUUUAAGUCAUCCAGAGGAGUUCUGUGAGGUUGACUUAUCUUCUUCCAAGGUCAUCACUGGAGGUCUGAAAAAUCCUAUGGAAUAUGCCCUCCCAAGACCAUUGCAUUGCAUUUUUUCCCAUAAUAAACUAUGUCUUAGAAUGAGUAAAAUGCUCUUUUCUUUUGAUCUCUUUCUCAUUGGCACUCUUUUUCAUGAUGUUUUCUCUGAAUAAAUCUGGGUUUUUGGGGUCUCUCUAUAUGGAUUACCAUAAUAAGUUGUUCUUGAUAAAAAAUAACAUUUUCAGCAUAUUGCCUCUUCCUGGAGCAGGCCUUGCUAACUAGCAGCUAUGAUAUAUGUGGGUCUAAUUACCCACAGAUUGCUCUAUGUUUAUUGCUAGCUGCUUCCCCCUCCCUCCCGGCCUAAGCAUCCUGGGCAAAAUGCCUUCUUCAGUCAAAGUCAUCAACUUUUCAUGGAUUUCCUCUAUCAGUUGUAGAAGGAAGAAUGUGCAUUAUGCACAGUUUUGGCUGAAAAGCUGUAGGCAGCAAGGAUUGCAUUGUUGCUCUAUUAGCUGGUUGCUUCCUUUUCUUAUAUAACAAGAGUCUUUAUUAAAUCAUUCCUCUGUAACUGUAUUGUGGCUUAAUAUCCCCAAUUUGUAAUAUUUUAAGAAUUGCAUCUGCCCUCAGGGACCUUCAUGAAAAUUAUAUAAAUGGGGACAUUUCCCCCCCCUCCACUCUUGAGCAAAUAUGCAUUUUCUAUUUUACUCGCACCUCAAAAGCCCUUUUAUUUGCCUCUCUGAUUUCCAUUCUCCCACCUACUAUCUCCAAAUAUAUACCAAAUAUUCUAAAAAAACAUUAUGUUAUGUUGGAUUGAAUAACAAGACACUAAAAAAUGGAAUCUUGGUGACAGUUGUGUUUUGUAAAACAUUCUGAGCUGUGCUUUCAAGGUUUACGAUAUUUUUAGAGCCUUUCAACUGAUUUAUUGAGCCAAAUUCAAUUUGAGAGUCAUUACUUUUGACAAAACUACAAUUUUUGCUAUAACUUAUCUUUUCCUCUUUGAGACUGAAGUCUCAGUCCUUCACAGAGCUAGAUCAUCCAAAGACUUCAAUGGUGGUUUUAUCUGCACUGGCUUACUGGUUGGUUUAUUAGAUAAAUUCACUUUAUGUUCUACAGGACCGGUUGUACAGUAAUAAUGUGAUCUGCUGUACUGAGGAGACAGAUAUAAAUCUUCUUCGGGCAUUUGUAAAAAGAAUGCAUGUAGGGUGGUGAAGAUGUAAGCUAUAUCAUCCUCAAUUUCCCUCUGUUGACUGAUGGGAUGUAACUUUAUUUGGCAAGCACUGUUGGAACUUAGGGUGUAUUUGGUUGGCCAAGCAUUGUUGGAACUCACCAUGAAACUGGGAACUCGCCCUAAUCAGGUUCUUGAUCCCAUGGGAGGUUGUAAUUACCUUCAGCUUACCAACUGCCACUCCUCUUUGGAAGAGUCCUUUUCUGAAGAACAGCAGGAAUUGCAGGUCCCUACCCAGGAAGACCCUGCAGGCUUACACCUCUUUGAAGAUGAGCUAUGCAGUAACGUGGAAAACACAACAGAUGAAAAUGAGUUUGCAAAGCCACUCCAGGCCCUAAAGAGAGACAGUUCUUAGAGGAACAGGAUUCCUGCCUACUUGCCAUACAGGCUGUAGAAAGUAAGGAAGAUGAUCUUGACAGAGAUAGACAAGAACCUAGGCAAAAGGGGCU